rnacentral:lncRNA from 1 species
AUGAUUCUGGUUGACCUUGAAAAGACCGCUCUCUCUUCUCUAUUGAAAGCUGUUGGAGAAAACCUAGAAGGAAGACUAGGAAGCCCUUCCCAGAAAUUAGGAUUUGAAAUAGGACAAAGAGAAGGAGGAGAAAUGUUUCAAGGUGUGCCUAGCAGGCCUUUCCAGGAGCAAGUCUUUUCAACAUAUACUUACCCCACGGAAAGAGAUGGUUCUUGA